UAGCUCAGCUGGUUAGAGCAUGGCGCUGAUAACACCAGCGUCACGGGUUCGAUACCCGU
rnacentral:tRNA from 1 species